rnacentral:rRNA from 1 species
UACGUAGGCAGCGAGCGUUGUUCGGAAUUACUGGGCGUAAAGAGUGUGUAGGCGGUGCUCUAAGUUCGGUGUGAAAUCUCCUGGCUCAACUGGGAGGGUGCGCCGGAAACUGGAGUGCUUGAGUGUGGGAGAGGAAAGCGGAAUUCCUGGUGUAGCGGUGAAAUGCGUAGAUAUCAGGAGGAACACCUGUGGUGUAGACGCUUUCUGGACCAUAGCUGACGCUGAGACACGAAAGCGUGGGUAGCAAACAGG